rnacentral:rRNA from 1 species
AACGUAGGAGACAAACGUUAUCCGGAGUUACUGGGCGUAAAGGGCGUGUAGGUGGUAGAGUAAGUCUGGCGUGAAAUUUUUCGGCUUAACCGGGAAAGGUCGUCGGAUACUGCUUACUAGAGGACGGUAGAGGCGUGUGGAAUUCCGGGUGUAGUGGUGAAAUGCGUAGAGAUCCGGAGGAACACCAGUGGCGAAGGCGACACGCUGGGCCGUACCUGACACUGAUGCGCGACAGCAUGGGGAGCAAACGAG